rnacentral:rRNA from 1 species
GGCUUUAAUUAGUCAUCUUGCAAAUAUUAAUCCGCUGGCCUCGCAAGGGGCUAGUCGAUAGAUAACAUAAAUGUGUGUAGUGUUGACAGUGUGUGAUAUUUAAUUAAUUAUUGACAACUUUUAACAAUGGAUCUCUAGGCUCUUGCAUCGAUGAAGAACGCAGCAAAAUGCGAAACGUGAUGCGAUUUGCAUGAAUCUGUGAGUCAUCUAAUCUUUGAACGCGAAUGGCACUGUUACGUAAGUAGCAGUAUGUCUGUUUGAGAAUCGCAAACACGAUCAACUCUAGUUAGAGUUGGCAUUGACCUCAUGUGCUAUUCAAGGUGCAUUUGGUUUGAAUGGAUCAAGUUGAUGGGCUUCCCAGUGAUGCUCGAUGUGUGCUAGCGAGACAGUCGUCCCGAUCUCACAUUAUUGUAUCAUUGCAGAGCUCUAAUCACAGCUUGCUAACUAUCAUAUAUCUAUUACGAUCUCAAAUCAGGCAAGAUUACCCGCUGAACUUAAGCAUAUCAAUAAGCGGAGGAAAAGAAACUAACAAGGAUUCCCCUAGUAACGGCGAGUGAAGCGGGAAGAGUUCAAAUUUAAAAUCUGGCGUAAAAGCCCGAAUUGUAAUCUAAAGAGGCGCUAUCGGACACAAGUUUGUUGUACAAGUUCCCUGGAAUGGGACAUCACAGAGGGUGAGAAUCCCGUCUGGACAAUGGACAAGUGGCCAUAUGAGGCGUUCUCAAAGAGUCGAGUUGUUUGGGAUUGCAGCUCUAAAUGGGAGGUAAAUUUCUUCUAAGGCUAAAUAAAGGCAAGAGACCGAUAGCAAACAAGUACCGUGAGGGAAAGAUGAAAAGCA